UACGUAGGGCGCAAGCGUUAUCCGGAAUUAUUGGGCGUAAAGAGCUCGUAGGCGGUUUGUCGCGUCUGCCGUGAAAGUCCGGGGCUCAACUCCGGAUCUGCGGUGGGUACGGGCAGACUAGAGUGAUGUAGGGGAGACUGGAAUUCCUGGUGUAGCGGUGAAAUGCGUAGAUAUCGGGAGGAACACCAGUGGCGAAGGCGGUUGCCUGGGGCUUUGCUGACGCUGAUGCGCGAAAGCGUGGGGAGC
rnacentral:rRNA from 1 species